UACGGGAGGCAGCAGUGGGGAAUAUUGGACAAUGGGCGCAAGCCUGAUCCAGCAAUGCCGCGUGGAUGAAGAAGGUUUUUCGGAUUGUAAAGUCCUUUCGACGGGGACGAUGAUGACGGUACCCGUAGAAGAAGCCCCGGCUAACUUCGUGCCAGCAGCCGCGGUAAUACGAAGGGGCUAGCGUUGCUCGGAAUGACUGGGCGUAAAGGGCGCGUAGGCGGAAUGCUUUGUCGGGCGUGAAAUUCCAGGGCUUAACCUUGGGACUGCGUUCGAGACGGGUAUUCUAGAGUGGAGAAGAGGGUCGUGGAAUUCCCCAGUGUAGAGGUGAAAUUCGUAGAUAUUGGGAAGAACACCGGUGGCGAAGGCGGCGACCUGGUCUUUUUACUGACGCUGAGGCGCGAAAGCGUGGGGAGCAAACGAGGGAUUAGAUACC
rnacentral:rRNA from 1 species